UGGGGAAUAUUGCACAAUGGGCGAAAGCCUGAUGCAGCAACGCCGCGUGAGUGAUGAAGGCCUUCGGGUUGUAAAGCUCUGUCUUUUGGGACGAUAAUGACGGUACCAAAGGAGGAAGCCACGGCUAACUACGUGCCAGCAGCCGCGGUAAUACGUAGGUGGCAAGCGUUGUCCGGAUUUACUGGGCGUAAAGGAUGCGUAGGCGGAUUUUUAAGUGAGAUGUGAAAUACCCGGGCUUAACUUGGGUGCUGCAUUUCAAACUGGGAAUCUAGAGUGCGGGAGAGGAGAAUGGAAUUCUUAGUGUAGCGGUGAAAUGCGUAGAGAUUAGGAAGAACACCAGUGGCGAAGGCGAUUCUCUGGACCGUAACUGACGCUGAGGCAUGAAAGCGUGGGUAGCAAACAGGAUUAGAUACCCUGGUAGUCCACGCCGUAAACGAUGAGUACUAGGUGUAGGAGGUAUCGACCCCUUCUGUGCCGCAGUUAACACAAUAAGUACUCCGCCUGGGAAGUACGAUCGCAAGAUUAAAACUCAAAUGAAUUGACGGGGUCAUAGCUGUUUUCC
rnacentral:rRNA from 1 species